GUGAGGAAUAUUGGACAAUGGGCGCAAGCCUGAUCCAGCCAUGCCGCGUGCAGGAAGACGCAUCUAUGGUGUGUAAACUGCUUUUGUACGGGAAGAAACACUCCCUCGUGAGGGAGCUUGACGGUACCGUAAGAAUAAGGAUCGGCUCACUCCGUGCCAGCAGCCGCGGUAAUACGGAGUGUACAAGCGUUAUCCGGAAUCAUUGGGUUUAAAGGGUCCGUAGGCGGUUUAAUAAGUCAGUGGUGAAAGCCCAUCGCUCAACGAUGGAACGGCCAUUGAUACUGUUAGACUUGAAUUACAAGGAAGUAACUAGAAUAUGUAGUGUAGCGGUGAAAUGCUUAGAUAUUACAUGGAAUACCAAUUGCGAAGGCAGGUUACUACGGGUGAAUUGACGCUGAUGUACGCAAGGGUGGGGAGCGAACAGGAUUAGAUACCCUGGUAGUCC
rnacentral:rRNA from 1 species